rnacentral:lncRNA from 1 species
AUAAGGGAUUUGGGCUUUUAGGCCUUUGUGAAUCUUUAUUCAUUAAAUUGUCAUACAACUUAAGUCAAUGGGCUUGACGUUCGAAGCCCAUUGGGCCUUAAGGUCUAAAACUAUCCCGAGGUCUUUAACGAACUUAUUCGUUUCUUCAAUCUCCACCUUACACGGUGUACGAUCCAUUAGGUUCCUUUUAGCGAGGCAGUGGGCGAUUAAAACUCUUUAAAAUCGAUUGUGAAUUGAAACUUACUUUCAAUUCUCCCUUUAGUGAUUAUACACGUUUAGGGCUUCCACAAACCAAGAGUAACACCUAGCAGCAUAUCAUGGUUACCCAAGCUAAUCAGAAGAGGUAGAGAACCUAUUCAGUUUAGGAUUACAAAUGCAAUACGGUCUUUCUCUAAUACAAUACUCUUGACCACAUUGUUUGGUUUGAUAGUUUAUUCAUGUCUACUAUCCAAUGUGAUUCGUGUGCUUAUAUGAUUACCUUGAAUGUGAUUUGGAACGACUUCCUAAAUCUCAUUCAUACUCUGGCCAGAGAUUCUAAAUCAUAUCAUAGAGUAUUCUCCCUCAAAUGGUUUGAAGGUUAGAGAUCCCUUGUUGCGCAUUCACUUGCCUCCAUAGCUAAGUGGCUUAACCCCAACUAUGUCGUGGACACCCUCCUGAUGGAGUGACUUUGACAUAAUCAAAGAUCAAGGACUUAACCACAAGACACGUGAUGCCUCAGGUCAAAGGACUACUUUGCAUUAUCCCAACCAUGAGUUCUCAUGUGACAUGAAUAUGAGAACUCUUCGUUGAUCGUGUUCAGUGAACUCAUUCUCUAUUGAGCACCUACGUACUUGUCUUGAUGUCACACACACCAAUGACUCGAGACUAGUCACUCUCCCUGAGAGAAGACACAGCACGUACUGAUCUUAACGGACUGUCAAUGCCCAAUUGGCAAUCCUAUAAUCAGGAACGUUUAGGAUGUGUCUACGAAAGAAUGGUCUCAUGAAUCUAACUUCUUUAGAUCGCAUUCUCCCAAUCACAUAUUCCUUGGACUUAUCGUUUAAGCAUGUAACAUUUAUAUGAGACGGCUCAAACAAUAAUCUUUGCCCUUGAUAUUAAACUAGAUUAGUUUAACAUGUGAAAUGUCCGUAAAGUAUCAUCGUAUGAUUGGUUUUAGGGCACAUUUCCAACAUCCCUAUCCAAAUGGUUUACUAAGUUUAUUGUAAACUAUAUAGUGAACAAUAACCACAUGCUCUCCAAAUUGUUUGAUGUAUAUAACACAAUUGAAAUAAGUUUCAAGAGAUAGUGGGAGUUUAGGGACCAUGAAUAUUGUAGUCAAAGGAGAAGUCAAAUGAAGAAGGCGAAAUAACUCCAAGGGAACAAACUUUCUUUAUGAAAGGAUGGACAUUGGAAAGGGUAUUUGCAAGAAAUGUCUUGCAAGUGUCAAGAACACACCUUUCGAAGGUGUUGUAAAUUGUUCUUGAAUAGUUCAAAAUAGUUGGUUCUUCUACUUGAAUGCUUGAUUCCGUAUUAGUAACUAUGUUUUACAAUCGUUGUAAAAGUGUGGCUAAUAAGAAGUAGAAGAUUAAUGAGAGAAGAGAAAAUACUUCACAUUCGGAACGUGAAUCAAAUGUAGAUCUCUGCAAAAGCAGGUAGUACUUACUUCCUCAUAUGAACUACCAAAGAAAAUGGAAAAACAAAGAUUGUCUCUACAUUCCAAUUUGAAUAAAGGAACUUAAUUCCAUAUGAGAAAUGGAUGAAUGUUUUUUUUUUUUUUGACAAAACAUUGUUCUUUAUUAAUGAAUGAUUAGAUUAUUGUAAUCUAAUUAAUUAUCUCUAUAGUAGAGAUGAUAUGGUAGUGUUAAUUGUUUAGAAUAUAACGAUGCUUAAAACCCAAAAGGUUGCAAGGUAGUGACUAAUCCCAACUGAGUUGUGCUACCUCUAAAACAUAAAUUACAAGUUGGUCAUAGAUGGAUGCUUUGGAUCGUUAGAUCCGGAUCCAAUGCCUUCUUGUUAAAAUUGUAUAGAGGCAAAAUGUUUAAAUCUUUAUUCUUUUGGAAAGGAAGAAAGAAUCACAAAGUUGUUGAGGUUAAUUCACUUAGAUGUUAGUGG